rnacentral:other from 1 species
UAGAUUCCGUAUAGUUGUUUGUGCACGGAGGCACUGACGUUUAUCAGGAUGAGAAACGUAGCAGGAGCUAAAAAGGAACAGCUACAGGAAGUAGCAAGGGACACCUCCUAGGAAGGAGACGUGCAACUGGUAUGGAUGACCGGUUAUGCCAUAGAAGGCUAAAGGACAGCUCAAAGGAUUUGAGAAAAGGAUAACUACAGGACGUAGUAACACAGUCAAAAAGGAUUGCAGGGAGCAACUACCCGUUCACGGAUUUGAGCGAUAUGACUACUAGGGGCGACACGAAAGUGUCGCCCCGACCUUUUUCU